rnacentral:antisense_RNA from 1 species
CCCACCCACGCCGGUUGGAGCCUCCCGUUCGCGCUGCCAGCAGCUUCCGCCUGCUGCGGUCCUGGCAAGCACCUCGGGAUCUCAUUCCUUCACAGGGGCCCUAGCCGGUUAAAGCUGAUACAUUCCUGUGGGUCAACUAUGCAACUAACUCAGAUUUUGAGCAAACAAAGCUCUCAAGUUGGUGAUCCUCAGGAGUCUCUGCAUUAGUUGGACAGCUCUUCUGGAAUUAUCUUCUAAGUCAACUGUGGGUUGGGUAGGUGGCUCUGCUGAUUUUUUGCUGGACUUCCACAUUUGGGACCAGUUGGCUGUCAUCAGCUCUAGAAAGGGUGUGGCUGUUUUACAUUGGCUGUUUUCCUCACAUUCCUCAAGCAGAUAACUGAUACCGUGCUUCCAGAAGAUUUUUCUAACAGUGUUUGCAGGCUAUAAAAUAGUGCUUUCACUUAGAAAAGGCCAGACAUGGUGGUUCAUGCCUGUAAUCCCUAGCACUUUGAGAGGCCAAGGCACCAUGCCGGGAGAUAAGGAUCCAACAUAAGACAAACAGGGCUGAUGCUUUUGGAAAGCUCAUAUUCAAGCUGGGGAGACAAACAACAUACAAGCUCAUAGAUGGAAGGCUUGUCUCAGAUAAGACUUUGGACUUGGACUUUUGGGUUAAUGCUGGAAUGAGUUAAGACUUUGGGGUUCUGUUGGGAAGGCAUGAUUGUGUUUUGAAAUGUGAGAAGGACAUGAGAUCUGGGAGGGGCCAGGGUUGGAAUGAUAUGGCUUGGCUCUGUG